rnacentral:rRNA from 1 species
UACGUAGGGGGCAAGCGUUGUCCGGAUUUACUGGGCGUAAAGAGCGUGUCGGCGGCCACGCAUGUCCGUUGUGAAAACUGGAGGCUCAACCUCCAGACGUCGACGGAAACCGUAUGGCUAGAGUCCGGAAGAGGAGAGUGGAAUUCCUGGUGUAGCGGUGAAAUGCGCAGAUAUCAGGAAGAACACCAAUGGCGAAGGCAGCUCUCUGGGACGGUACUGACGCUGAGACGCGAAAGCGUGGGGAGCGAACAGG